AUGACUAGGGAUAACCUUAGGAAGAGACACAUCAUCAAACCCGAUUGUGUUUACUGCUUGGAACAAGAGUCUUGUUCUCACCUAUUUUUUGAAUGUAUAGUUGCUAAACAUCUCUGGCACAUUGAGGAAUAUUUCUCUAGUCAGAUUGGCUCAUCCUUCGAAUCUGUCGCCAGAUUCUGGAUUGCUACCAAAAAGUGCUCAGUUUUAAACACUGUUAGCUCAGCUGUCCUUUGGUGCCUCUGGAAAUAUAGAAAUGCUAUGAUUUUCAGUAACACCUCCUGGAUUUCCAUUCCGCAGGCCUUGAGGUUGAUCAGGAACAUGGAUUCUCUCCUCCGGAUCAGACAAGGACAAGUUGAUGAGCUUCGUGGAAACCCUAACAAGAUCCCUCCAGAAACCGUGGGCGAUCACUUGUGGCUGAACAAGGCUUGA
rnacentral:rRNA from 1 species